rnacentral:lncRNA from 1 species
UUUGAAAUUAGCUGCAAAUGACAUUUUAGAUUCUUCGGCUCCAGGCCGGUGCCACAUGUCGUCGAGGGCCAGCCACGCAACUCCAUGAGUGCCACACUUCGACAUUGGGAAUAUUCCAACGCUUAACGAAAUAUCCCUUCAUCCCUUUCCUCAGCUCCGGUUUUUACGUUGCGGCCAUCCAAACCCACCAGAAUCUGAAGAAAAUGGCCAGAAUUCCUGGAAAUUUUUUAAAUCAUCAUAUCUUCUUCAGUUUUCAACCAAAAUCGACAAUCUUUAUAUGGAAAUGAAGCUAGGGAAGAGGAGAACACAUUCGUACCUAUUUGGGAGCCAAAAGAUGGCUAGAGGUGGUCUGAAUUUUGUCGGGAAAAGUUGGCCUAGUCGGAUCUCGUGAUUUUUCGAUUUUUCCUCGAUUUUUCACGAAACCAAAGCCAUCACUGGCUUCGUGGGGACAAGAUGAACACGAUGGUGAGGUUUGUUGGUCAAGUUUCGCUAGAAAAUUUUAUGGUUAAUGAUGGUGUGACUCGACAAAGUGAG